CUACGGGGUGCUGCAGUGGGGAAUAUUGCACAAUGGAGGAAACUCUGAUGCAGCAACGCCGCGUGGAGGAUGACACUUUUCGGAGCGUAAACUCCUUUUAUAUAGGAAGAAGAUGACGGUACUAUAUGAAUAAGCGCCGGCUAACUGCCGUGCCAGCAGCCGCGGUAAUACGGAGGGCGCAAGCGUUACUCGGAAUCACUGGGCGUAAAGAGCGUGUAGGCGGAUUAAAAAGUCAGAAGUGAAAUCCUAUAGCUUAACUAUAGAACUGCUUCUGAAACUCUUAAUCUAGAAUAUGGGAGAGGUAGAUGGAAUUUCUGGUGGAGGGGUAAAAGCCGUAGAGAUCAGAAGGAAGACCGAUUGCGAAGGCGAUCUACUAGAACAUUAUUGACGCUGAGACGCGAAAGCGUGGGGAGCAAACAGGAUUAGAUACCCGAGUAGUC
rnacentral:rRNA from 1 species